ensembl:lncRNA LINC01301 long intergenic non-protein coding RNA 1301
ACAAUGCGUUCUCCUUUCUUCCUCUCCACUAAUCUGUACUUCUAAGAGGUGUUGAGUUUCGGCCAAACUUUCUGCUCGGCUCGCAUCAAAGGCUGCCCUCUUGUGAAUAGCCAGCUCUCACCUAAUGAUCUCCCUACUCACUCCUGACCAGGACGCAGGUCAUUCCCCAUAAUAAUUAGCUCACAGGCAGAGUUUCCAGGCGCUUCCAGGAGCAUCAAUCACCGGGAUGAAUGGGAAGCCCGUGUGUGGGAACUGCAGGGGGAGCUGGGUGCAGAGCCACCUCAGCCCUGUCACCCUGCGCGUGUCUCUGCCAUGCUUCCUUGGAUCCCUAUCUACCCCGUUUUGGGUGACAGGACGAGUUGGGCCAGUUACCAGGAUCUUGUCGCCUGGUUCUGAUGGUGUCUUGGUUCCCGGCUGGGGUUUUGUGUUUACCACGAGCGUUGCCUGCUGUCGGGGAGCUGCGUGUGUUUCACAACAAACAGGGAGCCAGGGAGACCACCCUGCGGGGCUGCCCCUUCCCUCAGCGCUUUCUGCUUGGGUCGCUGGCGUCUUGCAGUGCCUUCGUUCGUCUGUGGUGUGAGGUGCUGGUCCAGGCUUACGCGCUAACAGUGAAUUAGAAGGAGAAAACGCUCUGCGAGUGCAGCGGAAGGAGGAAGUCCAGAGCCACGGAAAUUCGGUAAGGAUCGGAUAAGGGCAAUAAAAUCGCAGCUCUAAAUCUUUUCAUGGAGUUGAAGACAGACGUUUGACUGUGGGAGCCAUCUCAUCUUUAUAACCUGCCUGAGUCGAAGCUGUUAAAGAGGCCAAGAAUUCCCAAGCUUUCCCAGGCAAACGGGGAAGAACACUGGGAUGCCUUUUCCUCCUCCUCUGUCCAUCUGCAGGCCAAGUGUGCAUCAGUCACAGGCAAACUCUGAAUUGAGCUUUGUGCAAGUCUCUGGAAAGAGACCCAAGAUCGUGUGAUGAGCAAAAGUGACAGUGCUGGAGGCAGCGACAUCUGCAGAGCCAGCCCCAUCCCUAUCUGCAGCAGAAUAUGUAUGGGGAUCCUUUAUGUGAACAAUCCACCCAGGGUAGAAUGGGGCUUUUGACAUCAGCUGAGACCCAGGCGGCCUUACAAUGAGAGGGCUGUUGGUCAAAGGAAGGACUGUUUAAUGAACUGAGAAUCUGAGGCCAGCUCUGGCCAUCUGCACUUGGAAUCAUUAGAGCAACUCUACUGUAACUGGCAACCUUGAAUAAUGCAGCAAAUUCAUAUUCCAAAAUUGUGAACUUUAAAAUUUUGUGUUUGUGUCUAUGAUGAAAAGCAUUAUAUAAACAUUUGAUACUACAAUUUUAUUAGUAAGGAAGGCUGAAAAA